AAAAUCAUACACAAACAUAAACCAAAAACAGAACACACAGUAAAAAGGCCUUUACUGUAACAUGUUCUGUUCUGCCACAAGUGAAUAAGUACAGGAAAAAGUGACUGCUGUAAUGGUGCUGUUCCUGACCAAUUCUUCCAUUUUGUGUGUUUUUUUUGUACAUUACCUUUCCGCCAUAAUUUUCUAUGACCAAAAAUUGUUAUUGGACAUCAAAACAGCGAUCACUAACCUUGAUUAGGAUGAAGAUUACUACUACAAAGAGUCAGAGGCUCAGAACAUACUGCUCACCGCCGACUCAGAAAAGAAAAAGGCGGCGUAAGAGAGGCCGACGUGCGGGCACCCUGACAAAACUACGUUGGCGAGUACAUAAACUGCCUCUACCCUCUGUUCUAUUGGCGAACGUACAGUCACUGGAGAACAAACAGGACGAGCUCCGUUCGAGACUAUCCUAUCAACGGGACCUUAAGAACUGUAAUAUCGGAAUCGUGGCUGAAAUAACGACAUGGAUAAUAUACAUAAAGCUGUUUUUUUGAUGCAUUGGCAGGACAGAACAGCAGCACCAGGUAAUCAUACAUUAUGUACCUACGGGGGAAGAAUGGCCAGCCACACAGGACUGUGAUUUUUACUAAGGAGGAGAAAGAGGUUGUGCUGACCGAGAUGCAUGCUGCCCAUUUCGGAGUGAAGCACAUGAUUGCCAAAAUCAACCUACAGUUCCUUCUUCUGACGGGGAAUUGUCAAGGAGGUGGACAGCUGGGUCAUUACCCUGUCUAGCCUGCCAGAAAUGUGUGAGGGUGAAGACUGUGGCACCGGAGUUGAAGCCCAUCAAAGGUGUUUUACCAUGGCACAUAAUCGAGGUGGACCUCAUUGGACCCUUCACGAAAUCCAGGAAUGGCAACAGCUGGUGUCUGACGGUGACCCAUCACUUUACCAAGUGGGUGGAGGUAAUACCCAUUAAG
rnacentral:lncRNA from 1 species